GAAAGUAGUUAAGGGCGCAGGGCGGAUGCCUUGGCUCACGGAGGCGACGAAGGACGUGACAAGCUGCGACAAGCCGCGGGUAGGUGCAAGUGACCGUUGAUCCGCGGAUUUCCGAAUGGGACAACCCGCCCGUCUGAAGGACGGGCACUUCCGCCUUGUGCGGAAGGGCCAACCCGGGGAACUGAAACAUCUUAGUACCCGGAGGAAAAGAAAAUAAUCCAAUGAUUCCCCCAGUAGCGGCGAGCGACCGGGGAGGAGCCCAAACCCGGCGUGUGGCGACGCACGCCGGGGGUUGUAGGACCGCGGUGUUGCACGGCAAGGGCGAGGGGAAGCGGCUGGAAAGCCGCGCCGCAGGGGGUGAUAGCCCCGUACCCGAAGCCCGCGCCGGCAUAGCGGCAUCCUGAGUAGCGCGGGACACGAGGAAUCCUGCGCGAAUCCGCCGGGACCAUCCGGCAAGGCUGAAUACUCCCGUGAGACCGAUAGUGGACGAGUACUGUGAAGGAAAGGUGAAAAGCACUUCGACGAGAAGGGUGAAAGAGAUCCUGAAACCCUGCGCCUGCAAGCGGUCGGAGCUGCCCUUGUGGCAGUGACGGCGUGCCUUUUGCAUAAUGAACCUACGAGUUGCCGUCUCCGGCAAGGCUGAGGGGCUUUAGCCCCUGCGCCGCAGUGAAAGCGAGCCUGAAGAGGGCGUUUGUCCCGUAUGGGACAAAGCGCACACCGUGCGUUUUUAGUCGGAGGUGGCAGACGCGAAACCAAGUGAUCUACACUUGGCCAGGGUGAAGUCCCGGUAACACGGGAUGGAGGCCCGCACCGAUAAGCGUUGAAAAGCUUCCGGAUGAGCCGAGUGUAGGAGUGAAAGGCCAAUCAAACUUGGAGAUAGCUCGUACUCCCCGAAAGGCAUUUAGGUGCCGCGUGCGCCGUUCCGCAUGAGAGGUAGAGCGACCGAUAGGACGCGAGGGCUUCACCGCCUAUCAAGUCCUGAUGAACUCCGAAUGCUCAUGCGCCGCAGGCGCGCAGUAAGGGGGCGGGUGCUAAGGUCCGUCCCCGAGAGGAGAAGAAUCCGGACCGCCGUCUAAGGUCCCCGAGUUCUGCCUGAGUUAGUCUAACGAAGUGCGGUCCCUGUGACAGCCAGGAUGUUGGCUUGGAAGCAGCCAUUCAUUCAAAGAGUGCGUAACAGCUCACUGGUCGAGGGUCCGUGCGUGGAUAAUAAUCGGGUAUAAGGCAGACACCGAAGACGCGGGGUAGCAUUGAAGAAAGUACCGGUAGGGGAGCAUGGCGUGCUGCGUUGAACGGAGGGGGCGACCCCUCCCGGAGCGCACGGCAAGGCAAAUGUAGGUAUAAGUAACGACAAGGAGGGUAAGAUCCCCUCCCGCCGUAAGACCAAGGUUUCCCGGGCAAUGCCAGUCAGCCCGGGGUCAGUCGGGCCCUAAGCCCCAGCCGUACGGCGAGGGGCGAUGGAAGACACGGUCAACAUUCCGUGACUGCCACAGGGAGCGACGCGCUGACGGAGCAGUGACACCACCGCGGGGCGACGGAAGCCCCCGUUGACGGGCGUAGGCGUCGAGGGCCGCAGGCAAGUCCGCGGCCCGAGCCGAACCCCCAUAGUAUGGCUCCCCCUCCGGGGGGCGCCAAUAGCGUGGGUAAUCAUACUCCCGAGAAAAUGCGCUAAGCUUCAUCCCUGCGGCACCCGUACCCCAAACGGACACACGUGGUCGGGUAGAACAUACUCAGGCGUUGGAAGACUCACGGUUAAGGAACUAGGCAAACUGACCCUGUAACUUCGGGAUAAAGGGUCCUCGCGGCUCCGCGAGGCGCAGAGAAUAGGUCCAGGCAACUGUUUAACAAAAACACAGGGCUGUGCCAACUCGAAAGAUGAUGUAUACAGCCUGACACCUGCCCGGUGCCGGAAGGUUAAGAGGAGGGGUCAUCCUCACGGUGAAGCCCUGAAUUGAAGCCCCGGUAAACGGCGGCCGUAACUAUAACGGUCCUAAGGUAGCGAAAUUCCUUGUCGGGU
rnacentral:rRNA from 1 species